AACGAACGCUGGCGGCAUGCCAAACACAUGCAAGUCGAACGAUCCCUUCGGGGAUAGUGGCGCACGGGUGCGUAACGCGUGGGAACCUGCCCUUAGGUUCGGAAUAACUCAGAGAAAUUUGAGCUAAUACCGGAUAAUGUCUUCGGACCAAAGAUUUAUCGCCUUUGGAUGGGCCCGCGUUGGAUUAGCUAGUUGGUGGGGUAAAGGCCUACCAAGGCGACGAUCCAUAGCUGGUCUGAGAGGAUGAUCAGCCACACUGGGACUGAGACACGGCCCAGACUCCUACGGGAGGCAGCAGUGGGGAAUAUUGGACAAUGGGCGAAAGCCUGAUCCAGCAAUGCCGCGUGAGUGAUGAAGGCCUUAGGGUUGUAAAGCUCUUUUACCCGGGAUGAUAAUGACAGUACCGGGAGAAUAAGCCCCGGCUAACUCCGUG
rnacentral:rRNA from 1 species